rnacentral:rRNA from 1 species
CGGCGGACUGGUGAGUAACACGUGGGUGAUCUACCUCGGGGAUGGGGAUAGCCAUUAGAAAUAGUGGGUAAUACCGAAUACGCUUCCACGAUUGCGGUUGUGGAAGGAAAGGCGCUACGGCGCCGACCCGAGAUGAGCCCGCGCCCCAUUAGCUAGUUGGUGAGGUAACGGCCCACCAAGGCGAUGAUGGGUAGGCGGCCUGAGAGGGUGUACGCCCACAUUGGGACUGAGAUACGGCCCAAACUCCUACGGGAGGCAGCAGCUAAGAAUAUUCCGCAAUGGACGAAAGUCUGACGGAGCGACGCCGCGUGGAUGAUGAAGGCCGGAAGGUUGUAAAAUCCUUUUGUCGGGGAAGAAUAAGCAUGGGAGGGAAUGCCCGUGUGAUGACAUGAACCGGCGAAUAAGCCCCGGCUAACUACGUGCCAGCAGCCGCGGUAACACGUAGGGGGCGAGCGUUGUUCGGAAUUACUGGGCGUAAAGGGCAUGUAGGCGGUUCUGUAAGCCUGACGUGAAAGGCUAUGGCUCAACCAUGGCACUGCGUUGGGAACUGCGGGACUUGAAUCAUGGAGAGGGAGCUGGAAUUCCAGGUGUAGGGGUGAAAUCUGUAGAUAUCUGGAAGAACACCAGUGGCGAAGGCGAGCUCCUGGCCAAUGAUUGACGCUGAGGUGCGAAAGUGUGGGGAUCAAACAGGAUUAGAGACCCUGGUAGUCCACACUGUCAACGAUGUGCACUAGGUGCUGGGGCGGACGCUUCAGUGCCGGAGCUAACGCGGUAAGUGCACCGC